UACGGAGGGUGCGAGCGUUAAUCGGAAUUACUGGGCGUAAAGGGCACGCAGGCGGCCUGUUAAGUCAGAUGUGAAAUCCCCGGGCUUAACCCGGGAACUGCAUUUGAAACUGUCAGGCUUGAGUCUUGUAGAGGGGGGUAGAAUUCCAGGUGUAGCGGUGAAAUGCGUAGAGAUCUGGAGGAAUACCGGUGGCGAAGGCGGCCCCCUGGACAAAGACUGACGCUGAGGUGCGAAAGCGUGGGGAGCAAACAGG
rnacentral:rRNA from 1 species